rnacentral:rRNA from 1 species
AGAGCGAACGCUGGCGGCAGGCUUAACACAUGCAAGUCGAGCGCUCGUAGCAAUACGGGAGCGGCAGACGGGAGAGUAACACGUGGGAACGUACCCUUCGGUUCGGAAUAACCCAGGGAAACUUGGGCUAAAUACCGGAUACGUCCGUAAGGAGAAAGAUUUAUCGCCGAGGGAUCGGCCCGCGUCCGAUUAGCUAGUUGGUGGGGUAAUGGCCCACCAAGGCGACGAUCGGUAGCUGGUCUGAGAGGAUGAUCAGCCUCACUGGGACUGAGACACGGCCCAGACUCCUACGGGAGGCAGCAGUGGGGAAUAUUGGACAAUGGGCGCAAGCCUGAUCCAGCCAUGCCGCGUGGGUGAUGAAGGCCUUAGGGACGUAAACUCCUUUCGAGUCGGGACGAUUAUGACGGGUACCGGAAGAAGAAGGCCCCGGCUAACUUCGUGCCAGCAGCCGC